GGUCUAGUUUCUUUUAAUGGCAUUUUGUGAAAAACUAUGGAAUGUCAUCUAUCAUGAGCAUACUCAAAUUUCUUGCAGGCGGGGGCACCUGGGUGGCUCUGGGUGGUUAAGCGUCUGACUUCAGCUCAGGUCACAAUCUCAUGGUUCAUGAGUUAGAGCCCCGCGUCCAGCUCUGUGCUGACAGCUCAGAGCCUGAAGCCUGCUUCAGAGUCUGUGUCUCCCUCUCUCUGCCCUUCCCCCACUCAUACUCUGUCUCUCUGUCCAUCUCUCAAAAAGAAAUAAACAUUAAAAAAAAAUUUCUUGCAGGCGUUUAAACAUCCAACCUCUUCUAUUUAGCAUAAUAUAUUAUUUACGAUAACCUUGAAAUCCUCGAUGGAUUAUGGGGUAGCCAGCCUCCAAGAUAGCUCAAUGAUCCUCAUCUCAUGGUAUUCAUGCCCUUUCUGGGUUCCCUUCCUACAUGGCUUCCUACAAUACAAUACUGUGGAAGAGACAUAUGUGACUUUCAAGGCUGAGUCAUAAACAGACAUUGCAGCUUCUACCUUGGUGUGCCUCUUGGAUCACUUGCUUUGAGGGAAGGCAGCUGUCAUGUCAUGGUGACAUUCAAGCAGCUCUAUGGCAGGACCCAUGUGGUGAGGAACUAGGGCCCUCCACCAAGAGCCAGCACCGACUUGCCAGAAUUUGAGUUUGUGCACAUGAGUCACCUUGCAGUACAAGGUGACCAACCCUAGCCGAGCGUUCAGAAAACUGCAGCCCCCGUUGACAUCUUAACUACAACCUCAUGAGAGACCUUUGCCUCAGAACCACCUAGCUAAGCUGCUUCUGAGUUCUUGACCCACAGGAACUGUGUGAGAGAAUAAAUGUUUACUGUUGUUUUAAGUUGCUACAUUUGGGGGCGGUUCGUUAUGCAUCAGUAGGUACCGAAUGCAGAUUAGAAAUUCCUUGAAAGUAGGAUUCAUGAGUUCUACCUAUUUUACUUCAAGUUACGGCAUCACCUCCCUUCCUACUUCCGCCUUGGAGAUGAGAGCAUACUGAAAUAUCUGGCAAAAUAUGGGAGGUGAAAUGACAUUCCCCUUGAAAUUCAGUAUGACACAUCUGAAUGAGGAAAACCAAGAUGUCAAUCGGUCCAUUCUAACCGUUUUUUUAUUUCUGAGGGUAUUUAUGAGUCCUCAGGGUGGAGGUGAGGAUAAAGGAGUAGAACUCAGGUCUCAGGAUGAGUAUUGUUAUUUGUCAUUCUGGAAUCCCCCAGAAUUCUCCGUUCUCAGUUCAGGAGUGGAAUAUGUUCUUAGGCCUGGGUAUAUAGGGAAGCUUUGGUAAAUGGGGAGUUUCCAGUAUCCUAUGGAAACUUCCAGUAUCCAGAGGAUACUGGAAACUCACCUGGACAAAGGAAGUGAGAUAGUGCCUGGGGGAGGGGGGAGGUGAAGUGUUGGCUCUCUUCACAGGAUCAUUUCAGGCACAAGUCCUUGCCCAGGGACCAGGUGAACAUUGCACAGGCAGCCAGAACCAAUGGCCAGCCCACUGUGAAUCUGCAUCAGCAGGAAGGGGCUUGAGUGAGGAGGGGCAGCUCUGUAGGCAAUGGAGCAGAGAUCAGAGACAGACUUGCACUGGGCCCAGACUCAGUAUGUAGCAAUACAGUUGUCCCUUCUUAUCUGCAGGGGAUAUCUCCCUGGAUACCUGAAACUUAGACGGCUUCAGAAGACUCUGGAAGCUGCUUAUUGCCCAGUAUUUUCCACUGCAACCCCAGGCAGACUUAGACUGCAUCUCUACCUGCUGGACACCAAGGAGAUCGACAACCCUGUUUUUAGCUUUCUCUUUGGAAUAUGGAGAGUAAAACUUCACUAAUACUCCACCUUUAUUCCAAGGUUAAAUUCUUCCUUCUCAAUCUGUUGAGGCCACAUUUUUCUCUCUUAGAAACUGCCUUUUCAGAAAGAAGGCUGGACUCCAGGGAGAGCUGGGUACAAUUUCCUUCCAUAUGCUAUUCUUUCCCUCUCCAAAAGUCUCUAAGAGGCUGGAUAAAUGGCCUCACCUCCUUGCAUCAGUUGCCCUAGGUGUGGGGGUGGUUGAAAUCUAUGCCCUUCUUCACACCUGUUAACUAUGUCCACAAACAGAAAGCAGCAGGUAGGUGGGGUUAUACUUAGGCAUAGAUCACAGGGUCCCUGUUCACCUUAGGGGCAGGGAGAAAAAAAGAUAGAUAAAGAAUUGCCCUUGUCUCUAUGUCCCCCACCUGACAGAGAGAUAUGGGAGAUCCGGGGGGUGGGGUGUCCUCUCUACUGCUCUCCUCAUACUCAUGGCUGUUCUCUUCCCAUGCCCACUAGCAAAGACAACUCCCUUAGGACCUACCAGAGAUCAUUCAAUCAUUUCAUGGUGGAAACCAUGAAAGUCAUUUCAGAAGUGAAGGUCAUUUAUAAGUAGUGACAGCUCUCAAAUGAAUCUUUUAUUGGUGAAAUGGGACAGUGUCAAUAAAUACCCUUAAAAUUGAGUAGGACACACAAUAGCGUCAAUCCAUGGACGGUACAGGGCUAGGGAAACAAAUGACACCGGAUCCAGAAAUCUACUCUCCUUUCCCCGACUACAUUGUGAUCUACCAAGGUUAAGAAAAAACAGUCAUUUCUUUUUUAUUGUUUUGGAUGCCUGACCUUGACUGAAAGGAUGCCCUCUGUCUUUCAAAUUUUUGUUAAAAAUUUUUUUAAUGCUUAUUUAUUUUUGAGAGAGAGAGAGAGAGAAAGAGAGAGAGAGAUACAGACCACAAGCAGGGGAGGGGCAGAAGAGAGGGAGACACAGAAUCCACAGCAGGCUCUAAGCUCUGAGCUAUCAGCACAGAGCCCACCGUGGGUCUUGAACCCACAGACUACAAGAUCAUGACCUGAGGCAAAGUUGGAUGCUCAACCGAUUGAGCCACCCAGGCGCCCCUCAAAUUUUUGUUUUAAAAAUUGGAAAUCAAGGAGUAAAGACAACGUAUGGGGAUAAUCUUGUUCUGUGUGAACAUCAUGUCAUCUGUGUAUUAAAUAUCCUCAGUUUAUUCACUACAGUGCUUACAGUUAACACUAUUAAAAACUUUAGUGCAUUUCCCCCCAUUUAUACCUUUAAAAAAAUGUUUAUUUACUUUGAGAGAGAAAGACAGAGAACUCAGGGGAGGGGCAGGGAGAGAAGACAGAAUCCCAAGUUGACAGUGCACAGCCUGACGCGGGGCUUGAUCUUAGCAACAGUGAGAUUAUGACCUGAGCCGAGAUCAAGAGUCCAAUGCUUAACCCACUGAGCCACCCAGGUGUCCCUCCCAUUUAUGCCUUUAAGUGAUCUUAUGAUUCAGGUAUCGUUCUUUAUUAUCUCAUAUUCUUAAUAGUUACUAUACUAUACUCUUUACUUUGUGAUUAGUGUGUACAGUUUUAAGGAUCCAUGAAGGACCUAGGUCCUUAAAAACUCAAAUAGUGUGAAUAUCUUCCUUGUGAAUUCCUAAAAAGCCUUUAUUCAAAGUAACAUGUACUUUUAGAAACCUUACUGUACAGGAGAAUGACGUGAGGUGUACUGUGAAAAACAGAGUCCUGUGUGCUGCUUCCAGAUAUUCUGAUUUAGUAAGUCUGGACCAAAGCCCAGGCAUCUGCAUUUUAAAAUAAGCACCCAAGUAAUUAUGAUGUAGGUGAUAUUUGGAUUACGCUUUGAGAAACAGUGCCUUUGACUAUAAAAGGCCCGAGGACAGGACUGUAACUAUAACAAAUCUUCAUGUGUACACCCCAUUUAAUUUGCUGCAUGUAGCAAUAGAUACGGCAUCGGAGUUUGGAUCAUCCUUGGCUAAGGACUAAACCCUGCUCAUUCACUGUCAUCUCAUUUAUCUUCUGCACUGAGGACAGGCAGCCCUGGGCCUGCCCGUCCGUUAGAGGCCCUUGGAAAAGAGGCUGUGUGUUACAUGUUGAGUGGCUUUCUCUUUUGCUUAUCCAAAAUAUGUCUGUGCAAAGUUUUGGUAAAGGCUGUACACUCUGACAUACUGGCCCUGGUGAUUCUGCAGCCUUCACCGGAGGGGCCUGAGGAGAAGCUGUCAUUUUUUUCUCUACGUUUUGAAAUGCACAGCUCAAGGGGCGGGGUGAAGGGUGGAGAGCCCAGGGACUAAACUGGAGUUGGUAAACACGCAUGAAGCAAGCUAAGAAAGCAUAUUAGCAGGGGAGGAAUGACACGGGCUGCACGCGGAGCCUGGAACAACACAGAUUUCUCUGAAAAAAGACAGCACCAGUCGCCGCCGGUGUCUAUUUUGAAGGAAAUAACAACUAAAAACAGUACCGACCCUUGGCUAACAUCUGAAGGUUUGUCUGGAAAUUGUGUUCUGAAAAGAAGUUUGCAUCAGAGAAGCAAGAGAAUGAAGGGCAAGUCUUGAAGGAAAAAGAAAAAAUAGGCCAAAAAAAUCCAGCAAGCACCUCAAAUAGCCCAAAGGAGGUUGCAGGGACACGGGGAAAGCUCUAUUUAAUCUCUUGCCUAGCUAACACAGCCUGGAGGCAGCUUUUAAUGCACUUUUUUUUUUUUUUAUAACAAGCCUCGUUUUUGAGGUUGUGAUGAGCCUUUCUAGCUCCCGGAAUCAGUGAUGAUUCUUUAAAGAAUUUCUUUUCCCCUUGACACCUGGGGACAGAUUAACCAAAACCCCAGACUGGAAAGUAGGGAACUCCAAAGUUGCUCUGGUGUGCUUUUAAAACACUCUAUGUGACUCGGCAUGGUGAAGCAAAACCCCAUCACUUUCUACGUUACUUUCUGCUUCUCUCACCUCAUCUAGAUGGCCUCAGAGAAUAUUUUAAGGUUGACAGGAAAAUUUUACAGAAUGGUCAAAAAGUAAAGAAAGCCCUAAAAAUGGUUGUAUAAUCUUCCUCUUAAAAAAAAAAAAAAACAACACUAAUGUGUUUUGGGGGCGCCUGGGUGGCUCCGUCGGUUGAACGUCCGACUCUUGAUUUUGGCUCAGGUCAUGAUCCCAGGGUUGUGGGGUAGAGCCCUGCGCUAGGCUCCGUGCAGAGUGAAGUCUGUGGAGAUUCUCUCUACUCCUGCCCCCUUCCGCCCCCCACGCCUGCACUCUCUUUCUCUAAAAUAAAUAAAAAAUGUUUUUCAAUUGAAUAACUAAGAAAACAGAAUUGUAGGGUUGGAUUGAACCUCGGAGGUUAUCUAAGUUCAGUCUCACUUUAUGAAGACAGUUAUGAGGCACAGAAAAGUUGAAGGUUUCCAAGGUUGCGGGGCUGGUCUUAGAUUGAAGGUAUGUUUGUACGGACUCUCAGUUCAAUGUCACUUCUGUCAACUGCUUUCAUAACCACUUUUCUCAAGUAGUUUUUGCCUGCCCUUGUCCACUUAGUACUCACAUACUGUAGCAACAAAUUUUUGGCUUUGUUUUUUUUUUAGCAGGGGGGCAGGUUGCCAUAUGGUACUUUUUUCUUUGAACUUUGAAAGUAACCAAUUUCCUCAUGAAAAAAAAAAAAAGAGUGACCUAAUCUUAUUGUAAAACAAAUAUUCAAAAACCUCAACAGGCCCUAGAGUAAACUCUCAGUGCUUCAGGUGCUGACUAUCUAGUUUCCUUUUUCCUUCCUCUGCUGACCAUGCAUUCGGAUGUUUACAUCGGUCAGUAGCUCUGUAAAACUCCGAUACUAUAUAUGUUGUAGGACUGUUUGUGGCAGCUUCCUGAUCCCUGGAUUGUAGCUACGGCGCCAUGUUCUCAAACUCAGUAUUUCAGCGGCCAUCGGAGACUGCAGCUCCCCAGAGAGUGACAGAGCAUGAGCGGGGAAGGGGCAGAGAGAGAGGAAGACACAGAAUCCCAAGAAGGCUCCAGGCUCCGAGCUGUCAGCACAGAACCCGAGACCACAGGGCUUGAACCCACAGACCACGAGAUCAUGACCUGAGCCGAAGUUGGAUGCGCAACCGACUGAGCCACCCAGGCGCCCCAAAGGCUAUUUAUUAACGAAAAGUAUGACACAUAAAAAGAGUUUAAGAGAAAUAAAAUUAAGGUAAAGAGAAAAGAGCAAAUAACUUCUGGAAGAUAGUGGAGGAUAGAAGUGGGUGUGACAGCCAGCCUCCAAGGUAGCUCCCGGUGAUCCUUGUGCUUGUGCUCCUGUAAAACCCCCUGCCACAGCUCAGCUGUGUAACCAAAAGCAUACUGUGGAAAUGAUACUGUGUAACUCUUGGUAGGUCAUAAAAUAAUUUACGGUUUCCAACUUGCUCUUAACUUACUCUCUCUGAAGGGAGGCAGCUGACAUGUGGUGAAGACACUCAGAUUUCUGCCAACAACCAACACUGAUCUGCCAAGCGAGUAAGUGAGCCACCUUAGAAGCAAAACCUCCAACCUCGGUCAAGGGUACAGGAAACUGCAGCAUGGGCUGACAUCUUGACUGCAAUCACAUAAAAGACCCCAAACCAGGAUCACCCGCCUAAGUCACUCCUUACCCAUAGAAACUGUGAAGAAGAAACAUCAGUUUUGGUACAACAUGAACCCUAACUCACAGGAGAUCCACCUGCUUCACUGUCCCGAGGGAGCGAAUGAACUGGAAGGCAUCAGGCCAAUUACUCAUUAAGUCUCUGCAAUCCAUUUCGAAUCCCAGUUUCCUAUUGAUAUUAUGCCUUGAAUGUCAGGGAUGACUUCCUCCUAGGCAAAAUUAAUAGCUUUUUUAUUGGUCCCCAAAUUUGCCCAUGGUAUUUGAUGUCAGUGGUCACCCCAACUUGAGCACAUUCUUUUGGUUUCUGCGAUCCUGUACUUUCCUGUUAUUAACCAGGGCCAGGGCUAGGGUGAAGAAAGCGAAGUGCUCAGAAUGCAAAAUUCAAGGAGGCACUCACUCUCAGGGUCAUGCGAGUGUAAUGUGUUCACACUGAACACGUUUUUUGGCUCGUCAAGACCAACUGUAUUUAGCACAAUGAAAAGAAUAAAAGCAUUUUGCCUUUAUUUCACUUACUGUUUUUCCACGGCAGAACAUACGGCAGAGACUUGGGAACACGCAUGCCUGAAGCCAGGUUACUCUUAUGUUCCAUAACUAUGUUGCUUGCAGGGCUGCAAAAAGAAAGACAAAUUUGCCUAUGCCCGCCUAUCUGUAUUCUCCAGGCAGGCACACACAAGACCAUCAAAAAUGUGUUUUUUGUAAUUUGGGGGAAAACAGCAAACUACAUUCUGAAAUGUAAACACAUUUCCAUCAAAACAUUCUUGCAAUUAGAAUGAUUACUACUUCUCUGAAAAGCUCACUGUUCUGUAAAAGCAUUAAGAUGGGUCUGACCAUUUUCAUUUUCCAGAAAUUGAGAUAAACAGCAAUGCCAUCUACUGUUCGGUUGUGUGACAGGCUCAUCAACUCACUCAACAAAUAUGAGAGAUAAAAUGCCAAGACAACCAAACCAAAGGCAACACAUCUCAUAGGACGGAGGGAAAAUUAAAACUGUACUAUUAAAAUUCAUCUUCAAGUUCUUCUAUUUUAGGGCACACACACAAUAAGGUACACGUGCAAUUAUUAACUUAGGAGCUAAGAAAUAAAAAUUGAUAAGCAUUCUA